rnacentral:rRNA from 1 species
AGAGUUUGAUCCUGGCUCAGGACGAACGCUGGCGGCGUGCCUAACACAUGCAAGUCGAACGGGGAUUUUGUUUCGGCAGAAUCCUAGUGGCGAACGGGUGAGUAACGCGUAGGCAACCUGCCCCCCGGAUUGGGACAACACCCCGAAAGGGGUGCUAAUACCGGAUACGAAGAUAACACCGCAUGGUGUUAUUUUGAAAGAUGGCCUCUAUAUAUAAGCUAUCGCCGGGGGAUGGGCCUGCGUCCGAUUAGCUGGUUGGUGGGGUAACGGCCUACCAAGGCGACGAUCGGUAGCCGGUCUGAGAGGAUGAACGGCCACAUUGGGACUGAGACACGGCCCAGACUCCUACGGGAGGCAGCAGUGGGGAAUCUUCCGCAAUGGGCGCAAGCCUGACGGAGCAACGCCGCGUGGGUGAGGAAGUUCUUCGGAACGUAAAGCCCUGUUGUACAUGACGAACGUGCUUUCUAUCAACAACGGGAAGCAAUGACGGUAGUGUACGAGGAAGCCACGGCUAACUACGUGCCAGCAGCCGCGGUAAUACGUAGGUGGCAAGCGUUGUCCGGAAUUAUUGGGCGUAAAGCGCAUGUAGGCGGUGCCUUAAGUCUGUCGUGAAACUGCGGGGCCUAACCCCGUAUGGCGAUGGAAACUGUGGCACUUGAGUGCAGGAGAGGAAAGGGGAACUCCCAGUGUAGCGGUGAAAUGCGUAGAUAUUGGGAAGAACACCGGUGGCGAAGGCGCCUUUCUGGACUGUGUCUGACGCUGAGAUGCGAAAGCCAGGGUAGCGAACGGGAUUAGAUACCCCGGUAGUCCUGGCCGUAAACGAUGGGUACUAGGUGUGGGAGGUAUCGACCCCUUCCGUGCCGGAGUUAACG